AUAAUCGGACUUGGUAUUCAGCACUUGCAAAAAGCUUUCAAUCGCUUGUAUAGUAUUUUUGUUUCACCUGUCUCUUCUCUUGUCCAUUCUCUGAUCGCCCGUCCCUAGGUUUGUCAAACCAAUCCGUCUCCUCUCGUCUAAGGUGGUAAGCUUCAGGGAUAAAAACAAGCACUACUUAAGAAUCAGUCACUGUAUAGUGAGUGGCCGGAUUCAGUCUAAAUACGGUAAGUAUGAUUUGAUGCCAUUCAUGAAAGGUCUAUAGUAUUUGAAGAAUUUAACUUCUGCCACAGAAAGAGUUGAUCACUCUCUUGUGAGAAAGAGCUGAUUCCAUGCGACUGUACAAGUUAUUUGAAAAUAUGCUAAAAAAAUUCAGUUUAACGUAGAAUAAGAACAUGUUGUUAGUCUAUAUAUCGUGGCAUAAUCUAAACCUAUAAUGCAUGUUUUUCUAUGAAUGUAAAUGUUACUCCAAUUGUUGGGAAAAUGCAUGUAUUUCUUCUGAAACAUUGAGUAUUAGUGAUACCAUUUCACAUUCUCACAAUGUAAAUGUGUUUGUAUAUUGCAAAUUAGUUGUAGCAGAAUUUAUUGGCUAUUUUGAGUGUCUUCAACCUUCCCAACAAUUGGUCAUCAUUUUAUGGUGAUGUGUUUUUGACUUGAGGUGCAGGUUAAUGUGUUUACUGAUGAAUGACUAGAGAACUGAACUAAUACUCUACCAUUGGUUGCAUCGUCUCUGUUCAAAGCCAUCUGGGAAUCACUUAGUGCUGGAAUCAAGGCAAAUGGAUUUACAUUGAAAAUCUAUCGGAUCCAUGUGAAUUUAUUUGUAGUUAGACUGCAUUCAAGACAACUAAGACACGGGAUCUUUAGAUAUUUAAGCCGGAGAUAAAAAACAACUAGAAAAAAAACCCAUACAGUUAGCUUAAACAGUAUCUUACUUUAAUAUAACUUUCAAAUGUUGCUUCUCUUUUUGUACUAAAACUGUCAUCAGCUUGGAAAAUGACCUUUGCUGAUUCAGAACUUAAUUGAAGGUUGAAAAAAUGUUUCUUGACUUAAGGAUGUCAACAACAUACUGCUUCAGAAUGCAAUGCAAAGUAUUGAAUUUACUCAGCAAAACAGCAGCAAAAUAAAAUUCACCCAAACAUUGUGUUCUUUCUUGAAAUAAAGCAGAAACAUUGUUUGCGUUGGAACAAUACUGUGCUGUGUUUUUUGCAGACUUUUUUAGUUAGGCAAGGCAAGUUUAUUUGUAUAGCGCUUUUCAUACACAAGGCAGACUCAAAGUUAGUUAGUUAGUCAAGUUAGUGAUGACAGCUCAUAAUACUGUAUUCAUUAAAUACAAAGGAAAAAUAGCUAAGGAAGCAAUAGGAAAGGUUUUCUCAGUAAAGGAUGAAUUAAAAAAGAAAUUGAAUAUAAUAAUUUAGUUUUAUCAGAUUUUUUGUUUGAAAUAUAAACAAAAAUCAGAAAAAAAGGAAUAAAACCCAGAACGUGCAAUAUAAAUAACUUACUAAUGUCACAAUAAAUGCAAGUAUUCACAACAAGGCAUGCAAGUUAAAGUUUUGUAUUUAUUACAUACAAGUGUCACCUCGAAAUAUCAUGCGUUUAAAAAACAUAUGACAGUUUUCUGCUCUAAGCUAUUAUUUAAGUCAUUAGUUUGGUAACGUUCUGAUCUUGCCUACAGUUUGGUAUCAUAAUAAUUGAACGUAUGAAUUUAAACACAUACAUGAUGAAAUAUAAUAACUAACUAUAUAACUAUUUAAUAUCGACAUUGAUCAUCAGCUACUGUAAAAUCCCCAUUAUCCUUUAUUACCCUAUUUUAUUUUAUUAAAAUACAAUGUUAUUUAUUUAUUAAAAUAACCUGUUUAUUUGACGGAAUUCUGUACUAAUUAUGUAAAAUGUAUUAUGUAACAAUGGGAGGCACUUUUCGGUGUAUAAUUUGUGGGGAAAAAGUUAUGAAGGGAUCAUUUUUUUGCUAUUGUGGUCUUGUAUCUUCCACACAAUAUUUGAAAGACAAUUAAAACAAAAAACGUUAGAAAAUGGUAAUAGCUACAAAUGUUAUAAUUCGCUAAAUAUAAUGCAGACUGCCACUAGUGAGAAACUCCCACGCCAUGUAGCUGAAACAGGGAGACCAUUUGGUGUCACACAGUAAACUGCUGUGAGAAAACAUUACACAAUAUCUGGCAUGCAGACAGAAAUACAGUGCAUGCAUAAAGAUACAUUCAAGCACACUGAUAAAGACAUAGAGAAAAAUGUACAAAGGCAUGCAUGUACACCGGAUCUUAAACGAUUGCACAAAAUCACUGACACCCGAAAACAAAAAUAAAAUUCAUUAAAGUUAAGGUAAGACACAUGCAGAUUUUCAAAAAAUAAACCAAAACUAAACAUCACACACAAUAGUAUUAAAUUCAAGAAAGACAAACCAUAGCCAGCCAAUCUAAAGGACGAAACAUUCAACAGGAAAAGAUUGACAAUAUGACAAGUCUGUUUUUUACCUUCACUAUCUGACAUGGUACCCUGAAGGUCAUCCAGAAGUACGUAACCCCUACCCCUGGUUGGCUCUUCCCUGAUAUGUUGCUGUUGUUGGGAGUCCUGUAAGGAAAGGCAGGAACCAAACUGGUCCCUUGAAUCAGCUGAGAUCGGCGGUAGAGGUCCCGCUGAUGCACGGGCCAUGCCCAUAGGUUGCCCAACUGGGCUCAAUGGGCUCUCUUCCUCAGAGUUUUGGGCAACUAUUGGUAGUCUGCCACGACCACUUUGCACAAUGGGAAGGCUUGUAGGUUUGGUGCGACCAGAGGGAGUUUGAUAGCUUGGUACAUCUCCAGAUGUUUCGCCGUCCCCUUUAAGCCUCAGCGAAGAGCUGGAAGGGUCUCUUUUAAUGGACAAGUCCAGGCCAUAGCAAGAUGUGGGCCUCGAUGAGGGUCUUGAGCGACUACCACUAGGAUAAGCGGAAUCCAAGCCUAGGCUCUGGCCCAGAUUUAGAGACCCUGCCAAAUUGGCACCCAAGGUGGACCCCAGGUAUUUUUGUUGCUCUGCAAUAUUCUUACGAAGGCCAAAGGUAAUUUCAUCUUGUGAGAGCCGGCUGGUUCUUACAGAUGCACUGGUUGACCCAAGAUAGCUGGUGUAGUCUGUCUCCAAACCCCUGUUAUCUGUAACAGAGGAAUACUUGGAAGAGAUCUUAGGAUCAAUCAACGGUGCCUUGUGUUUUUGGUACAACAUUGAUGCUGGGAGUUGUUUAGCUGCCUGCUUCUCGAGAGUAAGUCGACUGAUACUGUACUUAUCUGACUUUGGAUAUUGUCUUUGGGAGUAACUAGACACGCUAGAGCUUGGGGUGUAGUAGUGCUGGGAGAGGCCUGUCAAUUGUUCUAGGUUUUCUGUCCCAGCACUUCUCCUGAACUCUUGCUUUAGCUGCUGCUUCAAGAGUUUCAGUUCGUAGGGUUCCUCCAUUGUAUCCUCUUCAUCGGGGGUCUUUCCAAAAGUAUGGAGUCUAGACGUGGAUCCCAGAUACUCAGCAGAACACAGAUCUGCAGCACUCCUACGCAGCAGCUUUUCUGCUUUGGCCAACUCCCUCUCAGCCAGACUGUAAGAUGAGGAUAGACCUGUGGAGCUCUUAGCCAGUUCUGCAGCAUCCUCCAAUAACAUGUAACUACGAGGUGUAUGGGGAUCUACAUCUGUAUAAUAGGAAUCAGAGACAGCCGUGAUAGGGCUACGUGGCAUACUUCCAACCUCCAAGGCUCUGAGGUCAAGGUGGUUGCCAUAUUUGUCAUACUUGACUCCCAGGUAAGCCGACGAUGUGGGAUCAGGCUGGCGGCUAAUGACAUCAUAUUUAGUUGCAUCCAACUCUGAGAGGAGGGCUGCUUGUCUGGCAGCUUUCUGCUGCAACAGGAGCAUCUGGUGGUAAUUCUGCUGCUGGGAGCUAGUGAGCGAGGGGACAGAGGAGUAGAGAGAAUGGGAUUGGUAGGACUGGGGAGUCUGGUAGAGAGACUGCUGGUAUUGGGUUUGAUAGUAUUGGUGCUGGCUGUAUUUCCCAUACUCAUACUUCGUUUGAGGAGGGACAAAGUCAUCCAGUUCUGACUGUGGAGCUGUUCUGGGACGUUCAAGGCUGUGACCUUCAAUCUCCUCAUCUUCACCACUUCCAAGCCCACCCCUUGUCUCUCGGAUGUUACUAACCUCACUGUCUGACAUGUAGUCUCUGUCCUCUGCAACACUCUGUAAAUAUGCCCUUUCUCUCUUCUCUCUCUCCAUCAGUAGCACAUCCUUUCUACGAUUAAUUCCCAUCUCCAAGUACCUAAGCUUAGCGUCAAUCUCCUUCUCCUCCUCAUCAAGCUCUGCUUGUUUUUUGCGGAGCUUGGAAGACUCACGCUCAACAAGAUCUAACUCACGAUCAAUAUCCUGCAGGAUCUUAGCACGUGCCAUGUUAGAAUUGCGGCACAUUCUCCGGCGGGCCGAACCAGUGUUGUGUGCUGUCUGACCACUCGUUGUUGACUCAUCCUCUGAGGGUGGAUUGGGGAGGGUCCUCUUCACCUUCUUUUGAGUGCCUGUUGGUGUGCCACCUGAGCCUUUCCCCUGUGGGAAAAGUAAACAAGAACAUGAUUAAGACUGCCGGAAUUGAUACGGUUAUAUAGUCUUUGUAAUUCUAACAAUGACCGUAUUAAAGGAAUAGUUUCACAGUUGAAAAAGUAGAAAAGCACAUCAAUUCUAGUCUUGCUACAAAGUUAAUACAAAGUCAUGAUUUAUAGAUAAGGACAUGAACAUAGUGGAUGGUGCCGGAUGUUAGAACACCUUUCGAGCAUACCUGUAAGGUAUUUCAAUCCACAAAUGUUACCUACUUCUCACUAAAUUGCCUAAAUUCAGUUUCAAAACAAGUGAUCAGCUCAUUUCAUUUAAGGUGUAUGAGAUUCUACCAAUAAAUUGCCCAGGCUGAAAUCUGACCUCCAUACCUCAUGAGGGUCAGGAGCUGCAUUUGAUGGCGACAUCUGCAUUGCUUAACCUAUUCAGUUAUUUUUUUACUUCCCAUUCUGUAUAUGUUAUGGAAACUAGUACCUAAGGUGGCAUUUGUAACUUAAAAAGUCGUCAUUUGGCAUGGUAUGGUAUCUCUCUUGGGUUAAGGUCACACCAAUGUUAAGGAAGAAAACCGCUGUACAAUUAUUGGAGUACAUCAGCAUUAUAUCCACUUAGGUAUAACCACAUUAUCUAGUGUGCCACGCUCAGACUACUUUGCUUGAAUUCCCAUUCCAUCUACCAAA
ensembl:lncRNA